rnacentral:rRNA from 1 species
CAGCAGCCGCGGUAAUACGGAGGGAGCUAGCGUUGUUCGGAAUUACUGGGCGUAAAGCGCACGUAGGCGGCUAUUCAAGUCAGGGGUGAAAGCCCGGGGCUCAACCCCGGAACUGCCUUUGAAACUAGAUAGCUUGAAUCUUGGAGAGGCGAGUGGAAUUCCGAGUGUAGAGGUGAAAUUCGUAGAUAUUCGGAAGAACACCAGUGGCGAAGGCGACUCGCUGGACAAGUAUUGACGCUGAGGUGCGAAAGCGUGGGGAGCAAACAGGAUUAGAUACCCCAGUAGUCCCUGUCUCUUAUAC